AAUUGAAGGGGAAGAUGAAUUGAGUCCUUUUUAUUCCAUCUGUUUUUUACUUCCAAUGCUGUGUCAAAUAACUCUCGAGACUGGAGGAUGUAAAAUUUUAGCUUCCUCGGGUGCAUUUAGAGAAGUUGUUGGUUACCUCAUUGCUUUGAUUGACCAAAACAAUUUUACGUCUGAGGAUAAUGGUUCUAUAUUCUUGGCUUGUGAUACAAUUUUGAAUCUUCUUCUAAAGCAGGAACAAAUCAAAUUUCCCUCAGAUGAUCCUAGUUUUAUCAGACUUUUGGUAGCAUUGUCACGCUGGGCGGAGGGUAUGGAUGAUGCAUCUAUUAUCAUGAUGGCAUCAAGUAUCUGUUCGCUUAUACUCGAUUUGACGUCAGAGGAAGCUCUUCUAAAUCAUCCAGACUUCAUUAGUGGCGAUGUUGGUAAUCUGUCAAAGCUCAUUAGACGAAGCUUUGUGAUGUGUGGUCAGGACUUGAUAUCCGAUGAUGCUAAAGCUGAAGUAGAUCUUUUUCAGAUAAUUACCGCAGCAUAUUCAUCGUGGGCUGAUCGAUUUCCUAGCAUUAAACAAGCUGUGGAGAGCUCAGGGCCAUUUGGAUUUCGAUGUGUUUCAUAGGACUCUUGGAAAUUGUGGUGCUGAUGAAUUGAGUUGUAGUACACCUUGUAUGAAGGGUAUUGUCUUUCUGCAAUCACUCACGGCAUUUCGUUCCUGGGCUUCCCGUGGCUCAAGGAAUCUGGAGAAGUGACAGUUAUAUUUAUCACCAACUUUGCAGUAAAACUUGUGAGGGGGAAUACACUUAAACAUUUUGGAUGGACUCGAGCUUUUCCUAGCAUCUCCAUGACAAGUUACUAGUUUUUUCUGUUGCUUGCAUGAUAUGGUUCAUAACAUAGUGUUAGAAGCAAGUUGCAUUAGUUAUUUUGUUACUACUAUUUCCUUAUGUAAGUUUUUUAAUUACAUCUUUCCAUCGAAUGUGCUUGGGUGAGACACUUCCUACCGUGUGCCAAAAUGAAUAUUUGAUGUACCUUCCAAAAUAGUAGUUCAUUUUCAG
rnacentral:misc_RNA from 1 species